GCCGAGAGGGGUUCAGUAAAGUUGAAGAAGAGUCGUCUCUUACCUUUUGUAUCAGGGGCGGUCAAUAGUAAACUUAUGAGGGGCUCGAUUAAAAUAGAACUUGUUGGGGCUUUAAAAGUUGAAUUUUUGGGGUAAGCCAAUAAGAGGUGAAAGGUCUUCGGUGGUUUUGUUAUCUAGUUGAGUUCCGCGCAGGGCCUAAGCCCUUGUGGGUCUAAGUAGCUAGGGACAGUUGCAGGUAACUAGGCUUUAGAUUAGCUGAGUUUUUAAAUUGUUUUAUGUAACCUGAGACCACUCAGGCUCUAUAGAGGUAGUGCCGGGUCUGGUUGGUAGAGAUUUGACUCCAUAAUGGGCGCAUUGAAUGGAGUUAGGGGGGAAAAAAUAACUCAUAACUAGUCAGACUGUUUAGCAAAAACAUUUUUGUUUGCAGAAGAGGGAGUACGGCCUGCUCGGUGACAAUAUCAACAGCUGCAGUAUUUUGACUGUGCUAAGGUAGCAUAAUCAUUUGCUUUUUAAUUGGGGGCUGGAAUGAACGGUCGAACUAACUAAGUUUAGUUUGUUAUUCCUUAUAGGAAAUUAAAGUUAAAGUAAAAAUUCUUUAAUGGGCUAAGGGACGAUAAGACCCUAAAAGCUUUACCUGGGGCGGAAGUGGGUAGUGGGCGCUUAGAGAGGGUUUGGCUGGGGCGGUAUUUCUAAGUGAACUAGAAUUUUAUGGCGGGUCCUUUACAUAAAGACAGAGAGUGUUAGUUACUUUAGGGAUAACAGUGCAAUAUGCUUGGAGAGAUCUUAUCGAUAAGCGUGCUUACCACCUCGAUGUUGAAUUAGAAUGUCUGUGCGAGGCAGCGUGUGUGCGAGAGAGUUUGUUCAACUCUUAAAUUUUUACAUGAUUUGAGUUCAAAUCGGUUUAAGCCAGAUUGGAUUUUAUCUUUAGCAGCAUUUUAACCAAAUUUAGUACGAAAGGGUCGAUAGGGUUUUGUUCGC
rnacentral:rRNA from 1 species